AAAAAACAGAACAGCACAGAAAGCUUACUUGCAGCUCCCCUCCUCUUCCCCAUAAGAAAAAUACUGACCGCAGUUGUGUACAAAUCCUUACUGUGCACUGGAACAUUCACUCCCUAAAAAAUCCCACAAUGCCCACAAAAACCAGGGAGCAUCGAUGCUCACUAUGUUCCUCUACUGGAAAUGACGCCAUGUUUUUGAAGCCUCUCAGCAUGAAAAAAAAAGGGACGGACUCUCAGCCAACUUUGGCUACAAAUGUAAGUAGCUUGCUGUUGUUGUUGUUCUUAAAUGAUUACUUACUUUAGCAAUUUUUUACUUUAUUUGGUGAUCUAUUUACAGGUUGUUUGAGUCUACGGCUUUUAAGUGUUUAAUUUUUUUUUUUUAAUCCACUAGUUUGCCUAUGAUCCUGCUUGACAUAUGACAGAAAUACAUGUGAUUAAGCUAACAAAUUUAUAUGACAUAUAAAACUAAAAUAUUUUUAAGCUUUUAAUUUUUGGUGAUGUUUUACAAUGUGAGUAUGUAGUCAUGCUGAAAGGAGAUAUGAGUAAUCAGUGUCCCACUGUUUAGUGAACCAGUGUACAAACUCGUGUACACAAUAUACGGAUUCACAACUUGUACCCACAGUAAUUGUGUCCAGUAUUUUUUGCAGAUGAACCUGAACCUUUAGCACUGAACCGUCCACUCCCCUCCUACCUGCCUCACAUACAAUAUAAAAUUUUGUAUAUAUCUGUGGGGUCCAAGCACAAAUAACACCCCCAGCAACCAGUUCUUGCCAUUCACUUAUAUGAACAUACUUCAUCAAGUUUCAUGUCAAUAGCUCAAUGCCAGCUGAAGUUUGAUUGGCUGAAGACAACUAUGUUUUUGAAAUAAUUCAGUGACAGUUAAAAAUCCAAAAUGCAGCAGAACUAAAAAAAAAAAAAAAAACAAUCAUAUGACCAACCAAGAAUAUAACAAAUACAGCUAUUUGAGUAAAUCAGCUCUGCCUCCUUAGAUCUGAUUGACAGGUGGUGGCAAUAUCGCUUAUAAAUCUCAACAUGUAUUUUUCAAAUAAUUAUUGAGCCCCAAACUCUCCCGAGUAGUUUGAAACCAAUAUUGUGAAGAUUAGCAAAAAGAAAUCCUAGAACUAAUGGGCAAAAUUAGGUUUUGCAUUUUAUGUGAAUUGGCAAAAAAUUUGUCAUAGCAGAAACUACAGUGUGAUGUCUACUGUAGAUCAGUUUGGCUUAAUGUAAUGUAUAAGAAAAAAAUUAUUUUGAAAGUAGGAAUUACAGUUCUUGAGAUAUGGACCAAAACAUUUGCACUAUAGCACUAUCAUUGAGCCCAUCACAUUUGUCUGAGUAAAGGGAGUGAUUACUACAAAAUCCAUGUCUCUUCAAAAAAGACAAAGAAAACAAAAAUUUUGGUACAUAAUUCACUGGAUUUCAAAGUCAGUUAAAUUAGGCCAAUAGCAAGUUAACUGUACUUUUCACCAUGAUAUUUCCAGAAUCUUGCUUGUCUUUUGUGAUGUUGUGACUGUUAUCCAUGAUUUUGUAGCCUGCCAUCAUUCAUUCAUCGUCAGUACGCUGAAGGUGGCGGAUCCAGAGCCUGUCCUAGGUACACUGGGUGUAAGGUUGGAAUACACCAUAGACAGGACGCCAAUCCAUCACAGGGCAUCAAGCAUACACAAACACACACACACACACACACACACACACACACACACACACACACACACACACACACACACACACACACACACACACACACACACACUCAUUCACAAUUGAAAAUCCUCAACCUACCUACUAGCAUGGUUUUAACAGUUAGGAGAAACCUGAAGAACCCAGAUGAAAGCACAUGCACAUAAACUCUGGAAUGCUUUCCCCCAACAGAUCUGUACCUACAGUAGCUUCUCAGUGAAGUCAAAAUACACCUAUUCAUGUAAUACAUACAGUAUGUUAAAUCUCAUAAUUUUUAACUAAUCAUGCCAUCUUAUGCGCAUUAUGUUAUUUCGGUGUUUACUUGUGUAUUAAAAGCACUAUAAAUAAAACAUAUGUGCAUGGCAGAACGAGGGGUGAGUCACUGCAUAGUGCAUAAACAGAAGUGGUUGAAACAUGUUGAGUGGUUCAGUGUGGUUCAAACCCAUCACCAUGACAGCUUAAAAGACCAAAGAAAACCCCACAAAAAAGACACCUAAAUUUAACCUAUGUAGAGAUGCCAAUGCAUACUUUGGUCUCUGCUCUCUGCUUUUUAUGAUCCACUAUCCUGUAGUGGCUCACCAGCUGUCUGAACACAUGUAGAAUGUAAGUCAUCACAACUACCUUUCACCCCUAUGCCUAUGGGAAUAUAAUAAUUUUUUUAAUUAGCAUUUUAUAACAAAGGUAUGAAUAUGGAUAUGUACUGAGUUGCUAGGUUAUUAAGUUCUAGUUGCAAAUUAAAGAAAGAAAUCGACAUUUAUAUGGGGUAUUAGCAUUGCAUUUGCUAUUUGUUCUGACCUAAAAGGAAAAGUAAACAAACUUUCCACAUGUGCAUAAUUGCACAUCAAGCAUAGCCACUGAAAAUACAUACAGUGCACAUAGAAAUACAAAACCUUCACCAUGAACCCACUUCCUCUGAGUAGCCCACAUCAUCUACAAUACUAUAAAAAAAGAAAAAGAAAAAAAAACACCAUACUUUUUAAAAUACCUACUGAAUGACCAAGAAUCUGCAGAAUGCAGCAUUUGAAACAUUUUUUUCUUUUUACAAAUUAGAAGGAAAAAAAAAAAACCUUACUCUGGCUCUUACACCUCUAUGAUUGCUGACCAUUCUGUUUUUAAAAAUGAGAGUUCUGGGGAAAAUGCUGGCCUUAUCUUGUGGUAAAGACCUUAAGUGUCAGUGGUUCCGAAACACUACUACCAUCACCCACACAUUUCCUGUAGCAUUAACGACUGGCACAAUAGCACAUGAAAAUGUCAAUCUUGAUAAAGUGCAUCAUUAUUAUAUCUCUUCUAUUUAAAUAUCUUAAAAAUUCUAUAUUUUAAUACCAAUUUAUGAUAACUUGUUUUUCACCAUAUCAGACUAACUAGAUAUGUUCUACUAUUUUUGACAUGUAAAGCCACAACACUGCAGUAUUUUUCAUUAAAUUAAUUAAUCAUAUAAGGGGGGCUUAAAUAUUAAAAAUUUACAAAUAGAUAUGACUGAGACAUUUAUUCUUAAUUUUUUAUUUUUUAUUAGCAUUUGACUGACAUAUUUGAGCAAUUAAACAUAAAUACAUAAAUACACAACACAACCAUACAAUAGUCUGCUUCCUCAAAGACAUUCAAAGGUUUCAAAAUCCAGAUUUCACUGUACACUAAUAGGGCAUACAUUCUAUAUGUUUCGAUGUCAGUUUAUAUGUUUAUAUGUCCGUUCAUUAUGAGCAUCAUAGAAAGGUUUAUUUAGAAGGAAGUGCAACUCUGUAAAGCAUUGACAAUUAUUGCUCAGGAUCCAAAGUUGUAGCCAGUGGCAACAUUAUUCAGGCUUGUCAAGGUGUAGAGAUGUGGAAAAAACAAAAAGGUAAAAAAUAAUAAUAAUAAUAAAAUAAAAUAAAAAUUAAUUGUAGCUUGACUACACCAUAAUUUGAGUUGACUAUAUCAGUUAGAAUGAGUGAAAGGGCGGGGGUCAUAUAACCAAGUGAGUUCAUGGUGGGAAACUUACACAGGAAGUUGUCAUCUCAGAGUGAAAUCAUCUCAUCUCAAAUCUUCUUUUGCCUAUUUACACAGCAGGAAAAGAAAUAAUACUGCAAUCUGAAUUUUAAAUAUCAAUCACUAAAGGUUCACGCUCAAUUAUGUCUCAGUAUAAAGUUCCUGUGUAAGUGUAUUAGAAUGAGUGCAUUUAAUAUAAAACUGAUUUUCAUUACUGUCAGCUUUUCUGUUAUAGAAAACAAAUGAACACCUUCUGGCCAAUCAGAAUCGAGAAUUCAACAUUGCUCUGGUAUAAAGGUAUUAACAGUACAGUGAAAAGGUCUUAGUCAUCCUAAUUUUAUCGAUAAUUCUAUAAGUUUGUCUUAGGAGUUUAGGGUCUCUGCAUUACUGUGUCAGUAGAAAAGAGCAAGGUUCACAAAAUAACUGCUGCAGGUUUUCUGGAUGUACGGAAAUGCUUACCCAACCAGUUUCCUCAUUUACUCUACCUAGUACAUUUUUCAUAUGUAAACAUUUCAUUUCCUUAUAUUUAAGGUCAUCUUACCUUAACAGAAUUGCUUUACAUGCACCUAAGAUUUGUGUACAGCGCUAUGUUUUAAAAUAUAUAUAUAUGGAAGUAAAAACUUACAAGCUCAACACCAAUUUCUAUUUGCUCAGAGGCCUCUUAUGUUUGCACUUUUCUGUAAUGAAAACCAAUUUUGUGAUAACAACCCCAAACACACCUCCAAGACGACCACUGCGAAGGGUGAAGGUGAUGGACUGGCCAAGUAUGUCUCCAGACCUAAACCCUAUUGAGUAUCUGUGGGGCAUCCUCAAACGGAAGGUGUAGUCGACAUCCGUGAUGUCUUCAUGGAGGAGUGGAAGAGGACUCCCGUGGCAACUUGUGAAGCUCUGUUGAACUCCAUGCCCAAGAGGGUUAAGGCAGUGCUGGAAAAUAAUGGUGGCCACACACAAUAUUUCACUUUGGGCCCAAUUUGGACAUUUUCAAUUAGGGGUGUACUCACUUUUGUUGCCACGGUUUAGACAUUAAUGGCUGUGUGUUGAGUUAUUUUGAGGGGACAGAAAAUUUACACUGUUAUACAAGCUGUACACUCACUACUUUACAUUGUCAUUUCUUCAGUGUUGUCACAUGAAAAGAUAUAAUCAAAUAUUUACAAAAAUGUGAGGGGUGUACUCACUUUUGUGAGAUACUGUAUACAUAUGAGUACACUGUGUGUAUUUAUACCAGCAUAAGACAUGUUGAUGCACAACCGAUGUCUCCAAUAUAACCCAGUUAAUGUAGAUUGAAUAAACUACUUUAUUGUUAA